rnacentral:rRNA from 1 species
AAUUUUUGACAAUGGGGGAAACCCUGAUCCAGCCAUCCCGCGUGUAUGAUGAAGGACUUCGGGUUGUAAAGUACUUUUGGCAGCGAAGAAAAGGCAUCCCCUAAUACGGGAUGCUGCUGACGGUAUCUGCAGACUAAGCACCGGCUAACUGCGUUCCAGCAGCCGCGGUAAUACGUAGGGUGCAAGCGUUAAUCGGAAUUACUGGGCGUAAAGCGGGUGUAGGCGGUUCGGAAAGAACGAUGCGAAAUCCCAGGGCUCAACCUUGGAACUGCAUUUUUAACUGCCGAGCUAGAGUAUGUCAGAGGGGGGUAGAAUUCCGCGUGUAGCAGUGAAAUGCGUAGAUAUGUGGAGGAAUACCGAUGGCGAAGGCAGCCCCCUGGGAUAAUACUGACGCUCAUGCACGAAAGCGUGGGGAGCAAACAGG